GACGAACGCUGGCGGCGUGCUUAACACAUGCAAGUCGAACGGAAAGGCCCUGCUUUUGUGGGGUGCUCGAGUGGCGAACGGGUGAGUAACACGCGAGUAACCUGCCCUUGACUUUGGGAUAACUUCAGGGAACUGGGGCGAAUACCGGAUAGGAGCUUCUGCAGCAUGGUGUGGGUUGGAAAGUUUCGGCGGUGGGGGAUGGACUGGCGGCUUAUCGGCUUGUUGGGCGGGUAGUGGCUGACCAAGGCUUUGACGGCUAGCCGGCCUGGGAGGGUGGCCGGCCACAUUGGGACUAAGAUACGGACCAGAAGCCUACGGGAGGCAGCAGUGGGGAGUAUUGCGCAAUGGGCGGAAGCGUGAUGCAGAAACGCCGCGUGCGGGAUGACGGCCUUCGGGUUGUAAACCGCUUUCGCCUGUGACGAAGCGUGCGUGACGGUAAUGGGUCAAGAAGCACCGGCUAACUACGUG
rnacentral:rRNA from 1 species